GAAAAAAGUCCGAUAUUGGGUACAGUUUGAUAUUAGGUAUACUGACCUCAAUAGAUAGUAUGGCUAAAAUAACUUUAGCAUUAUUAUUUUUAUUAUGCUGUGAGUUGGUUUUUAAUUUGUACUAUUUGUAUUAUUUAUUGAACUAUAUUCAUGGUAUGACUUAUUCCUAGCUUGGUAUCCCUAUAGUUGAGUUGACUCUUAUCGAACUCAUUUAGUCGCAUCACAUUCAUUCACUAAUAAUCAGAUUUUAACCGUUAGAUAAAUGAAUUGAUUCCCUUUGAAUUCCAGGUACUUUUUUUUAAAAGCAAAGGAGGCGCUGACAUACAUAGGUUUAUUUACAAUAUUCUACCCGCUGCUAUGACUAAUAAGGUAGCAAACAAAUACAGCUAUGUAGGGCACAAGAAGAAGCAUGCAUUUAAAGAUUUGCCGUUGUGCACAGUUAUAUACAAAUCAGUGCGUCAUCUAUUUCCAUCAUCACAGGACGAAGAGAUUCGUUCAAGAAUCAGUAGCUGGUUAGAUUAGUCUGGCACAAGACUCAAGAGGGAAUCAGACACUGAAGCAGCCGGUUCCAAAAAACGAAGAAGAGAUGUAAAAUAUUACAUCGAUUUAGAGGAGAAUGUAGCAGAAGAAAAUUCAAUGAAUGAAGAAUAAACUUUGUAAUUUUAACUUUUUCAUGUACUAUUAAUAUAAGUAAGUUAUUU